rnacentral:snRNA from 1 species
UGGAGGGAAAAAUGUUUU